AUUUCAUCCUGCUUCCGACGGGCGCCUCCCUUUUUGUUCCCUUCUCCCAUUUAUUUCCUCUUCACAUGUAAAUUUGUGUUUGAUCUUUGGCCGUGGGCAGAGCAAAAGUUCUCCCUAAGGCCUCUUCCCAGAAAAUAAUUCACUCAUCCUAUGAGGGGAAGAAUCAAAUACAACAUUGAUGGAAAUAGUAUUUGAUGUAGAAGAACCAACAAAUAAUCAGUAAGUGAUAAGAAGGAAUCUGUCUUUUAGUCGCUUUCCAUUUUUAUCAUCUUUCCUCUCCUUUCCUUUAAUGCUUCUGGAAGUAAAGGUGAAAGAGGAAAAGAGACAAAUGAGAGGUGUUUGCGGUCGCGAGAUACGUACCGAUGGAUGUUUUGUUUCAUUGCGGAAAGUUUGCGUUUCCGAAGGUGUUGUGAGAGGGGGCGAAAGCGAGAAAGGCGAGCAGCAGCACCAUCCCGACGGGCACUAAGAGGAGCAGCGACGGUGGCGGCGGCAGCGGAG
rnacentral:lncRNA from 1 species